rnacentral:rRNA from 1 species
CUCCUACGGGAGGCAGCAGUAGGGAAUAUUGGGCAAUGGACGGAAGUCUGACCCAGCCAUGCCGCGUGCAGGAUGAAGGCGUUAUGCGUUGUAAACUGCUUUUUUAUAGGAAGAAGACUCCCUUGCGAGGGAAAGUGACGGUACUAUAAGAAUAAGCACCGGCUAACUCCGUGCCAGCAGCCGCGGUAAUACGGAGGGUGCGAGCGUUGUCCGGAUUUAUUGGGUUUAAAGGGUGCGUAGGCGGUUUAUUAAGUCAGUGGUGAAAGACGGUCGCUCAACGAUUGCAGUGCCAUUGAUACUGGUAGACUUGAGUUCGUAUGAGGUAGCUGGAAUGGAUAGUGUGGCGGUGAAAUGCAUAGAUAUUAUCCAGAACUCCAAUUGCGUAGGCAGGUUACUAAUACGAUACUGACGCUGAUGCACGAAAGUGUGGGGAUCAAACAGGAUUAGAUACCCUGGUAGUCCACACUGUAAACGAUGAUGACUAACUGUUUGCCCUUUGGGGUGAGUGGUACAGAGAAAUCGUUAA